rnacentral:tRNA from 1 species
GCGGGGAGGCGGGCUGGGUCUUGGCCUGCUUUUCCGCGGCAGGGGCGAUGGACGGUUCGUUAUCCGCCUCCUUGCUC